rnacentral:rRNA from 1 species
CGGACAGUGUCUGGUGGGUAGUUUGACUGGGGCGGUCUCCUCCUAAAGAGUAACGGAGGAGCACGAAGGUUGGCUAAUCCUGGUCGGACAUCAGGAGGUUAGUGCAAUGGCAUAAGCCAGCUUGACUGCGAGCGUGACGGCGCGAGCAGGUGCGAAAGCAGGUCAUAGUGAUCCGGUGGUUCUGAAUGGAAGGGCCAUCGCUCAACGGAUAAAAGGUACUCCGGGGAUAACAGGCUGAUACCGCCCAAGAGUUCAUAUCGACGGCGGUGUUUGGCACCUCGAUGUCGGCUCAUCACAUCCUGGGGCUGAAGUAGGUCCCAAGGGUAUGGCUGUUCGCCAUUUAAAGUGGUACGCGAGCUGGGUUUAGAACGUCGUGAGACAGUUCGGUCCCUAUCUGCCGUGGGCGCUGGAGAACUGAGGGGGGCUGCUCCUAGUACGAGAGGACCGGAGUGGACGCAUCACUGGUGUUCGGGUUGUCAUGCCAAUGGCACUGCCCGGUAGCUAAAUGCGGAAGAGAUAAGUGCUGAAAGCAUCUAAGCACGAAACUUGCCCCGAGAUGAGUUCUCCCUGAGACUUAGAGUCUCCUGAAGGAACGUUGAAGACGACGACGUUGAUAGGCCGGGUGUGUAAGCGCAGCGAUGCGUUGAGCUAACCGGUACUAAUGAACCGUGAGGCUUAA